rnacentral:rRNA from 1 species
GACGAACGCUGGCGGCGUGCCUAACACAUGCAAGUUGAGCGACGAACCAGGGCUUGCCCUGGGGCAAAGCAGCGAACGGGUGAGUAACACGUGGGUAACCUGCCCCGAUUACCGGGACGAACCCGACGGAAACUACGGGCGUAAUACCGGAUGUGCUCGUCAGACCCAACGUCUGACGCGUAAAGGAAGGCUUCGGCCUCCGAAUUGGGAGGGGCCCGCGGCCCAUUAGCUAGUUGGUGAGGUAACGGCUCACCAAGGCAUCGAUGGGUAGCUGGUCUGAGAGGACGAUCAGCCACACUGGGACUGAGACACGGCCCAGACUCCUACGGGAGGCAGCAGUGGGGAAUCUUGCGCAAUGCGCGAAAGCGUGACGCAGCAACGCCGCGU